GACGAACGCUGGCGGCGUGCUUAACACAUGCAAGUCGAACGGCAAGGCCCUGCUUUUGUGGGGUGCUCGAGUGGCGAACGGGUGAGUAACACGUGAGUAACCUGCCCUUGACUUUGGGAUAACUUCAGGAAACUGGGGCUAAUACCGGAUAGGAGCUCCUGCUGCAUGGUGGGGGUUGGAAAGUUUCGGCGGUUGGGGAUGGACUCGCGGCUUAUCAGCUAGUUGGUGGGGUAGUGGCUUACCAAGGCUUUGACGGGUAGCCGGCCUGAGAGGGUGGCCGGCGACAUUGGUACUGCGAUACGGCCCAGACUCCUACGGGAGGCAGCAGUGGGGAAUAUUGCACAAUGGGCGGAAGCCUGAUGCAGCAACGCCGCGUGCGGGAUGACGGCCUUCGGGUUGUAAACCGCUUUCGCCUGUGACGAAGCGUGAGUGACGGUAAUGGGUAAAGAAGCACCGGCUAACUACGUG
rnacentral:rRNA from 1 species